GGGGAGAGACGAGAGCUGUAGGACAGCUUGGUUUUCUUGCAAACUAGUGUGAUUUGUACUUUAUUUUGGAGAGAUGAUUAGGUUUAUUUUCAUUGAGAAAGUAAAUAAAGACAUAAAGUAGGAACUAUAAACUUGUAUAGAACGCAAUAAUUUUAGAGGAAAUUCCUUAUUUGACGCUAGAAGAUGACUUAAUUUCUUCCUUAGCCUUGAAAAAAUUCUUAUCCCUUAUAUGACAUCGAGUUCUAACUUUCAUUCCUUAUUUGACAUUUUCAUCACUUUUGUUAGUUAAGUUGGACAAAAUAACCAUCAAAUUACCUCCAAAAUUCAUGAAACUUUUUGUAGUGAUAAAAUAAAUGAAGAUGAACCCCAUGUUCUUAAAAACACAUGUGUACCUUUAUUAUUUUAAAAUUAAAAUUCACCAAAUUAGGCUACUAUUACAAAUUAUCUGAAUUUUAAAGGCACCAAAACAGUUCUAAAAAAUUAUAGAAAAAUAACUUGUAUUUCUCACAUCAUAUACAAUAACUUAUUAAAUUAUUUUCUAGCAUAAGUUACACAGACAAUUAUGGAGAACAGGGCUUUUCUUCACUUCAGCACUUCCCCUCGCAAUGGAUUCCACUAGGUUCUUAACCUCUUCCCAAUUCUUAAACUGAAACCUGCGAUGUCUAAUCCAACUCAGCACCUAACAACUUGGAGAAGUUUGGAAAAU
rnacentral:lncRNA from 1 species